UGGGACACAGGCCUCCCCCCCACCUCCCCUUCUCGGCCUUCGCGAGUGUGGGCGCCUCGCGGCACUGGCGAGCCGCUCCAGGUCAUAAUAAGUAUGGAUUACCACUCUGGAGAAUUCAACUGAUGAAGAACAGUGGUUGGCAAUCUUCCCUUUGGUGUAUUUUUGGUAAAUUGCUGACUGAUGCAGAAGGAUUGAUGUUCUUCCAGAGAAUCAGAGCCCCGUCAGCCUGAAUCCCUGAGUACAGAUCACAUGGAGCAGAGACCCAACUGACUUGGGAUGGAUGUGUAGCAUAAAAGGAAACAAACCUUUGUUUUUCUAAGCCACUGGAGAUUGUUUUUUGCUGCAGCAUAUUCAAAAGCAGAGACAUUACUUUGCCGACUAAGGUCCGUCUAGUCAAGGCUAUGGUUUUUCCUGUGGUCAUGUAUGGAUGUGAGAGUUGG